AAAAUGAGAGAAUACACACAGAGGAGAAGCCUUAUCACUGCUCUCAGUGUGGCAAGUGUUUUAAUCAGUUAGGGAACCUGAAACAGCAUGAGAGAAUACACACGGAGAAGCCUUUUCACUGCUCCCAGUGUGGAAAGUGUUUCAACCGGUCAGUGAAGCUGAAACGGCAUGAGAGAAUUCACAAAAGAAUUCACAAAGGGGAGAAGCCUUACCACUGCUCCCAGUGUGGCAAGUGUUUUAAGCAGUUCGGGAAACUGAAACAACAUGAGAGAAUACACACAGGGGAGAAGCCUUACCACUGCUCCCAGUGUGGCAAGUGUUUUACUCAGUUAGGGAACCUGAAACGGCAUGAGAGAAUACACACGGGAGAUGCCUUACCAUUGCUCCCUGUGUGGAAAGUGUUUCAACCAGUUAGGGCACCUGAAACAACAUGAGAGAAUACACACAUGGGAGAACCCUCACCACUGCUCCCAGUGUGGAAAGAGUUUUAACCAUUUAUGGAACCUGAACGUUCAUGAGCUAAUACACACAGUUAAAUGUCUUUCGAGAAUCCACACAGGAGAGAGAAAUUACUUCUCUUAGCACGUAUAUUGAUAUUUCACAUCUCAUUCUCAUUGCAAUUCAUCAGAGAACAAACACAGUGCUCCCGUUGUCUUAUAUUGUUGACUGAUAAUGUGUUUACCUGUUUUUACCAGAUGAAAUUGCUUCUUCCAAUUAUUGAUAAACAUGUACCUGUUAAGAAAGGGACUGUUAGAACUGUUCCAUGGAUUGAUGAGGAAUUUAAAAACUGUAUGUUUGAAAGAGAUGGGGCAAAAGGAGUGGCGAAUAAGUCUGGAUGCACAUCUGGCUGGCUUACAUACUGCAAAUUGAGAAAUGAUGUGACCAAACUCAACAAACAUGAUAAACUUCAUUAGGAAGCCAAGAUCAAUGAUAUAAAGAAUGAUGAAAAAAAUGUAAAUAAACAAUUAAAGAAAAGCAGUGCAAGUAUUGAAUUUUGUGAAGUUAGUGUGGGAGAGGUGGAAAAAUUGUGGUUAUCGAUCAAUAAUGACAAACCU
ensembl:lncRNA